GACGAACGCUGGCGGCGUGCUUAGCACAUGCAAGUCGAACGGAAAGGCCCUGCUUUUGUGGGGUGCUCGAGUGGCGAACGGGUGAGUAACACGUGAGUAACCUGCCCUUGACUUUGGGAUAACUUCAGGAAACUGGGGCUAAUACCGGAUAGGAGCUCCUGCUGCAUGGUGGGGGUUGGAAAGUUUCGGCGGUUGGGGAUGGACUCGCGGCUUAUCAGCUUGUUGGUGGGGUAGUGGCUUACCAAGGCUUUGACGGGUAGCCGGCCUGAGAGGGUGACCGGCCACAUAGGGACUGAGAUACGGCCCAGACUCCUACGGGAGGCAGCAGUGGGGAAUAUUGCACAAUGGGCGGAAGCCUGAUGCAGCAACGCCGCGUGCGGGAUGACGGCCUUCGGGUUGUAAACCGCUUUCGCCUGUGACGAAGCGUGAGUGACGGUAAUGGGUAAAGAAGCACCGGCUAACUACGUGCCAGCAGCCGCGGUGAUACGUAGGGUGCGAGCGUUGUCCGGAUUUAUUGGGCGUAAAGGGCUCGUAGGUGGUUGAUCGCGUCGGAAGUGUAAUCUUGGGGCUUAACCCUGAGCGUGCUUUCGAUACGGGUUGACUUGAGGAAGGUAGGGGAGAAUGGAAUUCCUGGUGGAGCGGUGGAAUGCGCAGAUAUCAGGAGGAACACCAGUGGCGAAGGCGGUUCUCUGGGCCUUUCCUGACGCUGAGGAGCGAAAGCGUGGGGAGCGAACAGGCUUAGAUACCCUGGUAGUCCACGCUGUAAACGGUGGGUACUAGGUGUGGGGUCCAUUCCACGGGUUCCGUGCCGUAGCUAACGCUUUAAGUACCCCGCCUGGGGAGUACGGCCGCAAGGCUAAAACUCAAAGGAAUUGACGGGGCCCCGCACAAGCGGCGGAGCAUGCGGAUUAAUUCGAUGCAACGCGUAGAACCUUACCUGGGUUUGACAUGGAUCGGGAGUGCUCAGAGAUGGGUGUGCCUCUUUUGGGGUCGGUUCACAGGUGGUGCAUGGCUGUCGUCAGCUCGUGUCGUGAGAUGUUGGGUUAAGUCCCGCAACGAGCGCAACCCUUGUUCACUGUUGCCAGCACGUUAUGGUGGGGACUCAGUGGAGACCGCCGGGGUCAACUCGGAGGAAGGUGGGGAUGACGUCAAGUCAUCAUGCCCCUUAUGUCCAGGGCUUCACGCAUGCUACAAUGGCUGGUACAGAGAGUGGCGAGCCUGUGAGGGUGAGCGAAUCUCGGAAAGCCGGUCUCAGUUCGGAUUGGGGUCUGCAACUCGACCUCAUGAAGUCGGAGUCGCUAGUAAUCGCAGAUCAGCAACGCUGCGGUGAAUACGUUCCCGGG
rnacentral:rRNA from 1 species